UCUCCGUAGGUGAACCUGCGGAGGGAUCAUUACAGAGUUCUCGCCCUCGCGGGUAGAUCUCCCACCCACUGUUAUCGUUACUGUGUUGCUUUGGCGGGCCGCCGGGCCCCGCUCGGCCGCCGACUCCGGCUGGCGCGCGCCCGCCAGAGGCCCAGCAAACUCUGAAUGUUAGUGUCGUCUGAGUACUAUAUAAUAGUUAAAACUUUCAACAACGGAUCUCUUGGUUCUG
rnacentral:misc_RNA from 1 species